AGUUACCAGCACCUCGGGUGGGCACUCUAAGGAGACUGCCGGUGACAAACCGGAGGAAGGUGGGGAUGACGUCAAGUCAUCAUGGCCCUUACGGCCAGGGCUACACACGUGCUACAAUGGUCGGUACAAAGGGUUGCCAAGCCGCGAGGUGGAGCUAAUCCCAUAAAACCGAUCGUAGUCCGGAUCGCAGUCUGCAACUCGACUGCGUGAAGUCGGAAUCGCUAGUAAUCGUGAAUCAGAAUGUCACGGUGAAUACGUUCCCGGGCCUUGUACACACCGCCCGUCACACCAUGGGAGUGGGUUGCUCCAGAAGUAGCUAGUCUAACCGCAAGGGGGACGGUUACCACGGAGUGAUUCAUGACUGGGGUGAAGUCGUAACAAGGUAGCCGUAGGGGAACCUGCGGCUGGAUCACCUCCUUA
rnacentral:rRNA from 1 species